rnacentral:lncRNA from 1 species
AGCAUGGGCAGGGGCAGUCUGCUAAAUCAUCUACGCAGAACCUCUAAUGUCAAAAAUUCAGCAGACCCAGCCAAUACUAAUAAUGAGUAAAAAGCAAACGAGUAAAUGGAGUGUGUUCCAGGAUGGGCUAAUAGAGCUCCAGGGAAAGCUGGGUUAUGGGAGUGAGUGGACUGCACGUGGGAGGAAGGAAGAACUCAGGGUCACUAAAGGAGCAGCUUCCUGACCUGGGAGUAUUUGGCAGGAAUCUUCAGGUAUUGGAUCCUGAUACAGACCAGAUAUUCUGGAAUUCUCUCUCCAACAAAAGAUUACUUCAAGGCCAGAACACACUCCCAGCUAGAGAUCCAAGGUAAGAUUAAUUGAGAUUAAUUUGUAACCUGGUUGGGCCCAUGGUGGUGUUGGCCCCUUCAUCAGAUGGGCCCCUUCACCAGAUGGGGACAAUCAUUCAAGAUGAGCCAUCAGAGCAAAUCAUGCCACCUGGGACCUCCUCGCUCCCCCAACCCCUGCCUCUUCUGCACCCCA